UGGGGAAUAUUGGGCAAUGGGCGAAAGCCUGACCCAGCAACGCCGCGUGAAGGAAGAAGGCCUUCGGGUUGUAAACUUCUUUGACCAGGGACGAAAAAAAUGACGGUACCUGGAAAACAAGCCACGGCUAACUACGUGCCAGCAGCCGCGGUAAUACGUAGGUGGCAAGCGUUAUCCGGAUUUACUGGGUGUAAAGGGCGUGUAGGCGGUUUUGUACGUCGGAUGUGAAAUUCCCAGGCUUAACCUGGGAGCUGCAUCCGAAACUACAGAACUUGAGUACUGGAGAGGAUAGUGGAAUUCCUAGUGUAGCGGUAAAAUGCGUAGAUAUUAGGAGGAACAUCAGUGGCGAAGGCGACUAUCUGGACAGUAACUGACACUGAGGCGCGAAAGCUAGGGUAGCAAACG
rnacentral:rRNA from 1 species